AUUGAACGCUGGCGGCAGGCCUAACACAUGCAAGUCGAACGAGUGGCGGACGGGUGAGUAAUGUCUGGGAAACUGCCCGAUGGAGGGGGAUAACUACUGGAAACGGUAGCUAAUACCGCAUACCAUCGGAUGUGCCCAGAUGGGAUUAGCUAGUAGGUGGGGUAACGGCUCACCUAGGCGACGAUCCCUAGCUGGUCUGAGAGGAUGACAAGCCAAACUGGAACUGAGACACGGUCCAGACUCUUACGGGAGGCAGCAGUGGGGAAUAUUGCACAAUGGGCGCAAUCCUGAUGCAGCCGUGCCGGGUGUAUAAAGAAGGCCUUCGGGUUAUAAAGUACUUUCAGCGGGGAGGCGUUACCCGCAGGAGGAGCACCGGCUAACUCCGUGCCAGCAGCCGCGGUAAUUC
rnacentral:rRNA from 1 species